CGUGGCUUUAACAAGUAGAUGUUUAUUUCCCUCUCAUGUGAAAGCCUAGAGGCAGCAGUCUGGGCCUGGUACCAUGUCCCAGUCUUCUUCCAGCUCACUGUUCUGCUGUUCCUAGUGGGUGGCCCUCAUCCUCGUGGAUCAAAGUGGCACUCACCUACCAAACAGCAAAAUAGAAGAAAGAGCAAAGAGGAUGGGGGAGAGUGCACAAACACAAGCUGUGCCUUAAGGAAGGUUCCUAGAGGCUGCCCUGAGACACUUCAUUUACUUCUCAUUGGUCAGAACUCGGUCACGUGAUGACACCUAGCCACACAGAAGGUUGGGAAAUGUAGUCUUCUUUCUAGGCAGCUCUGUUUCCAUAACCGAGAUAUAGUAGACACUUAUUGGGGAACAACUAAUAGCUUCUACCACAGUAGGUGUGUGAUCUUGGGCAUGUCUCAUGACCGCCCUGGGCAUGGAGAGAAUGCUGCCUUACCGUACACACGUUGAAGUAGUAACUGAAACCUCACAUGUGAGUCAUCUAGCCCAGAGCCUGGAACAAACAAACACACCACACAACAUAAAUUUUAGUUCCUUUCUGAUUCCAGGAUUCUGGAAUGUGCACCAAUAGCUCUCAUCCUCUCAAAUGUGGCCAGAGCAACGGAAGCCAGGUUCUGACUGCUAUUCCCAACCAAAUUCCCAGAGUCAGCCUGAAAUUUCCCAGAGCUUCUGUGUUGGGCCCCAGAGUCUAAGAUGAGGAGACUGAGGCCCAAGAGAGCAAGGACCAUAUCCAUCCCUUACUUUAAAGUCACAUGGAGAACAAGACUCAGCUUUGUCCCCAGGUGCCGAGUUCCUGACCGCUCUCCUCCGCCGCAGUCCCACCCCCCGCAGGCAGUGGACCCUGAAGCACCCGUGGCCGCGGGCCGUGUCCUUCCCAGCGAAGCAGACGUGAUCGGGCGGCUGGAGCCGGAGGCAGAGAACCAGUCCUGGCUGAGCUCCGCCCCAUCUGUGGGAGAGCAGUACGGCCACCAGGCGGGGCUCAGGGAAGCGGGGAGCAGCCUUCCAGGCCAUCAAGGCGGCCAGCACGUCCAAGUUCCCCCCGCACAGGUUCGUGGCGGACCAGCUCGACCAUCUCAACGUCACCAAGAGGUGGGCUUGACUCAGAGCCACGGAUUCACAGGGCGGCCACCCACCUCCUGACCCGACUCUGGAACCUCUGGAGAAAGAUGAGCUGUUGGAGCAGGCUUAGUGGACAGCAGACGUGAGUGUGGUGGUCUGCACGUGCGGUGUGUGGGGCUCCAAACUCUGUAUAGUCCAGCCUCUGGCGUGGUGUUUCCUUUCCAUUACCCUAAUAGGAAGAUACAGUAUUUCCUAGGUCACAGAAGAUAUAAAAUGUAUUUUUGGAUGAAAGUUUCAAAAAAAAAAAGUUACAAACUGUGAUUUGGAAUCUGUGCUUAAGUAUGAG
rnacentral:lncRNA from 1 species